rnacentral:lncRNA from 1 species
AGCAAUUUACUUCUUUUCCUGUUUUUGCUUUUUCAGGGUCUCUUUGUGUACACACCAUCAUCAUCCUAAUAGCUCCUCAGCCAGUGUGCUGCAUCUCUGCAUUUGCAUAAAAGCUGAGGCUGAUAAUAAAGUUUCCAGUUAGUGCCAAAUUUGUGGAGAAUGAGAAUUUGAUCCAGAUUUCUGAAGAAUUAUCUGGAGGUGAAAUGACUUGUCAUAAAGGAGCAUAUAACUAUAGAACUGGAAGAAUACAGGAGAGAUGCCUCUUACUUUCCUCCCUGCUUGUUUAGCUGAGAGCUCAACAGCAGGUACAGGAUGUUCUGAGUCAGACUCCUGCAAAUGAGAGAAUGAGGAAUUCUUUUCAACCAUGGACUCUUCCCAGAAAGCCUCAGAAACAGAACUGUACUGAAACCUCACUGUGCAAGCCCUCUAUGAACAAUGACCUAAAGAAAGGACUUUCUAUGUUAAGACAAGAUACAAAUACAGAUUGUAAUCGAGGGAACAAAGCUGAAGUUGUAACAAUAGUGCUGUCAUGUCACACAGGCAAGAACAUAUGGUUCCACAGGUCAAAUUCAUCUGCAAGUGAUUUAGGAUGUAGGAUUCUUGGAUUGUGAAUCCACCAAAUUCAAUGGAAAUACGCUGGUCAGCCUUGGACUUUUAGUGUGGUUCACAGGGCACAGCAGGCCUGACAGACUCUUCAUGAAAAACAGGCAAAUGUAUGGAGAAAGAACCAAUGUACUUUAUACUAUACACGUACCUGACAUAAAUUUGGAGUAUUUUCUUAAUGGAAGGAGAGUGGACUAGGUUUUGCCCUCUUUUUAGAGCUUAUAAAUGAGUAAGUUAGAUCAGAAUGUACUCU